rnacentral:rRNA from 1 species
GUAGGGUGCGAGCGUUAAUCGGAAUUACUGGGCGUAAAGUGUGCGCAGGCGGCCGAGCAAGUCGAGUGUGAAAGCCCCGAGCUUAACUUGGGAACUGCGCUCGAAACUACUUGGCUAGAGUGUGGCAGAGGGAGGUGGAAUUCCACGUGUAGCGGUGAAAUGCGUAGAGAUGUGGAGGAACACCGAUGGCGAAGGCAGCCUCCUGGGCCAACACUGACGCUCAUGCACGAAAGCGUGGGGAGCAAACAGGAUUAGAUACCCUGGUAGUCCACGCCCUAAACGAUGAUGACUAGUUGUUGGAGGAGUUAAAUCCUUUAGUAACGCAGCUAACGCGUGAAGUCAUCCGCCUGGGGAGUACGGUCGCAAGAUUA